UCGCCUGUUUAUCAAAAACAUAGCCUAAAGUAUACAUUUUAGGUGAAAUCUGCUCAGUGUGAUUUUAUAAAUAGCCGCGGUACUUUGACCGUGCUAAGGUAGCGUAAUCAGUUGGCUUUUAAAUGGAGUCGGGUAUGAAUGAAAACACGGAGCCAAGCUGUCUCAAAUUCUGUUUCAUUGAAUUUACUGUGUAGAUGAAAAAGUCUACAAGAUUAAAAAAGACGAGAAGACCCUUAGAAUUUUUACAAAGCUAAAGAUAUAUUUAAAAUGUUUUUGUUGGGGCAACAUAGAAACAUAAAACUUUCUAGAGAAACUAUAUGACGAUUAUGAUAAGAGUGGUUAAAUUACCUGAGGGAUAACAGCAUAAUCUUAAAAUUUGGUUUGUGACCUCGAUGUUGGACUAGGAAAUUGGUAGACUAGCCGUUUACUAUGUUGGUUCUGUUCGAACUUAUUUUCCUACGUGAUCUGAGUUCAGACCG
rnacentral:rRNA from 1 species